UUGAGCUCAACUGUGCCCCUAAGUAGUAAGACUUUAAAGUUAAAACUUAAAGAACAUGGCGGCUUAAAUUAUUCAGGGGAACUUACUACAUAAACGAUGAUCCACGAGUCUACUUACCUGUUUUUACAGCUUAUAUACCGCCGUUUAGUACUUAAUUAAGUUGAGUACAAACAAAUUUCCUUUUGAAAUCAGGUCAUGGUGUAGCAAAUAAAUAGGUGUAAGCGAGUUACAAUAAGGUUUUUUUUCGGAUAUAGUAACAUGAGCUACUAUUAAAGUUGGACUUGAAAGUAAAAUAAAACAAAAAUACCAUUUGGAUUUUUAUUUUUAAGUGU
rnacentral:rRNA from 1 species